rnacentral:lncRNA from 1 species
AGAACAAUGCGGGAGUUGCAGAGAGAGGUGUCCUGUGUUUGUUCCCAGUCUUCCUUCACUCACCUGCACCUGCUCCUGCCCUGCUUCGGCCAACAUGUUCUAUGCAGGGUGGUUUUGCUGAUGAGACAGCUGCAGUUUGGGGAGUGUGAUAUCAAGGAAAGCAGUGUCUUGAGUCUGUCACUUUCUCUCUCUGUCCCAUUGGCAACAUGAAUUGGAGGCCAUUAUUUUAAGUGAAACAACUCAGACACAGAAAGAAAAAUACUGCAUCUUCUCACUUACAGACUGCCCCUGUUUCAGCCUCCAGGAGAGUCUGUGACAAGGAGUGGGCUCCCUCUGCAAGGUGCUUGGAUUCCUCUGAAGAAAGAAAGCAAGGAAACAUGAAGUAUGGUGAUGGUGGCAUUUUCAAGGGCGGGUGAUGAAUGGAAACUUCCUGACAUUUCAAGCGACAACAUCUGAAAGGAAAUGGAAUUUUCCUGAAGCACAGGCAGGAGGUCCCCGUCACAAGCUAUUGAUUUGAGAUGAGAAAACUAAGGACCUAAAAUAAGACUUUACUUGCUAAGUCAUACCAUGAGUUGGAACUGAAAUUAACUCCUAGCUCUGCCCUGUGACUUCAAGACCACCAAAAUACAAGAAGUAUGUGUAGAGCUCGAAAUAUGUUCCUAAAAUAUUCAAAGUAUUUUAAUAAUAAAUUGAGAAUUAACAUAAGCACUCUCUA